GAUGAACGCUGGCGGCGUGCCUAAUACAUGCAAGUCGAGCGAACGGACGAGAAGCUUGCGCCUCUGAUGUUAGCGGCGGACGGGUGAGUAACACGUGGAUAACCUACCUAUAAGACUGGGAUAACUUCGGGAAACCGGAGCUAAUACCGGAUAAUAUUUUGAACCGCAUGGUUCAAAAGUGAAAGACGGUUUUGCUGUCACUUAUAGAUGGAUCCGCGCUGCAUUAGCUAGUUGGUAAGGUAACGGCUUACCAAGGCAACGAUGCGUAGCCGACCUGAGAGGGUGAUCGGCCACACUGGAACUGAGACACGGUCCAGACUCCUACGGGAGGCAGCAGUAGGGAAUCUUCCGCAAUGGGCGAAAGCCUGACGGAGCAACGCCGCGUGAGUGAUGAAGGUCUUCGGAUCGUAAAACUCUGUUAUUAGGGAAGAACAUAUGUGUAAGUAACUGUGCACAUCUUGACGGUACCUAAUCAGAAAGCCCCGGCUAACUACGUG
rnacentral:rRNA from 1 species